GGUGUUUGUUUUCACCAUCUGCAAUAAGUAUGGCUACGAAAAGCUGACUAGAUAUUGCCUUUAAUUGGCCGUUGAGGUGGACUAGUGGUAAAAAGUUACAAGGAUAUUUCCUGAACAUGUAUAAGGAUAAUUCAUAGCUUCCAUAUGCAUAUGUGCCCAGCAGGAUGAUGCUUUCUUAGUCAUGAAGAAAUGAAUUUUAUGACAUUGAGUUAAAAUUGAUAUCUAAUUGUUCAUCACUGAGCCUUGGAGAAUGCUUCAGAAUUUCAGAGUGUACCUGUUAACAUGGAAUGUUGUUGGUCGACAACCAGUUGAAGAUCUUCAUCUUAUGCUAGGAUUAGAAGAUCCCAUUGACCCAUUAAAACUUCCAGAUGUUUAUAUUGUUGGCCUUCAAGAAGUGAGUUCCAAGCCUUAUGACCGUGUAGUUGAUUUGUUAUUUGAUGAUCCUUGGGUCAAUUCUAUAAAACAAAUUCUUCGUCCAUGGGACUACGUCAAGGUGAAACAAAUCCGUCUUCAAGGAAUUAUUUUGUUAUUUUUCUGCAAACGAACUCAUUUGGUUCACAUAAGGAGAACUCAGACUGCUUAUACUCGAACAGGAUUUGGAGGUGUUUGGGGUAACAAAGGUGGUGUUAGUAUACGAUUUAAUGUGUAUGGCUGCUCUCUAUGUGUUGUCAACUGCCAUUUUGCACCUCAUGAUAAAGAACUUCAACAAAGAAUAUAUGAAUAUAACACUAUUGUUGACAGCCAAAGUUUUGAUGACCCUCAAAGUAACAACAUCUUAACACAUGAUUAUGUGUUCUGGAUGGGUGAUCUGAACUUUAGAAUUGAUGAUUUUUUGACUGAAGAAAUUAAAUUAAUGAUUGAAAGAGAAGAAUUUGCACCUUUGUUGGCAAAGGACCAGUUGUGUCAGAUAAGAAAAACAGGUCAGGCAUUUGGUGAAUUCACAGAAGAAACUCCCACAUUUCCACCUACUUACCGGUUCAUCAUUGAUAGUGAGGAAUAUGAUUACUUGAAUCGGAGGCCUGCAUGGACAGACAGGAUUUUAUAUCAUUUCACUCGGAAUGCUUACGAUCAGGUUUCAUUAGACCUGGAACAGCAUCAUUAUAAGAGCUAUCCAUAUUAUCUUCAGAGUGACCACAAACCUGUAUCAUCUGCUUUUAGCAUUAAGGUGAAGAGUAUACCCUGGAUGUGACAAGAUGUGAUCUCUCACAGGUGUGUCCUUAUGGAACCCCUGCCAUCAGGUAUCACACCCCAUUGGAUUCUUUUUGAAGGUUUCUGAAGAGAGCUUAUCUAUGUAAUAUUAGCACCAUCUGAACAUGGGAUUCUAGCUAUUCUGUGUACAGAAGUACAGUUUAGCAGCAUUGAUGAGUAUCUUUGUUAUGUCUGGGCUUCUACUAAGCCACUUGUCAUUUCAUCAUCAACACCAGAAAGUGAGGAUUUGAUUGUGUCAACUCAAGAAAGCUCUACUAGGGCCCAUUGUGCCU
rnacentral:misc_RNA from 1 species